NNNNGCCCGAACAGGGACCUGGAAACGAGGGACUCCGUGAGGAAGAGGACGCCAAAGGACGGUCGACCGCUAACGAAGACAAAAGAAAGUGAACUCUUCCGAUCACCGCGGGAACCUGCCGCGUCAGAAUCGAAGGUAAGUGANNNNNNNNNNAGGACGGUCGACCACUAACAAAAACAAAAGAAAGUGAACUCUUCCGAUCACCGCGGGAACCUGCCGCGUCAGAAUCGAAGGUAAGUGACGCGUCCGAAAUGGGACAAGAAUUAAGCCAACAUCAGAUCUAUGUAGGACAAUUAAAAGAGGCUUUAAAGAUACGAGGAGUAAAGGUUAAAGGUAAUGAUUUGUUUAAAUUUUUUGAUUUUGUAAAAGACACUUGCCCUU
rfam:Chlorocebus sabaeus isolate 1994-021 chromosome 13, whole genome shotgun sequence.